AGGGUUGUAAAGCACUUUAAGUUGGGAAGAAAAGUUAUUGGUUAAUACCUUAUAACCGUGAUGUUACCUGCAGAAUAAGCACCGGCUAAUUCCGUGCCAGCAGCCGCGGUAAUACGGAAGGUGCAAGCGUUAAUCGGAAUUACUGGGCGUAAAGCGCGCGUAGGUGGUUUGUUAAGUUGGAUGUGAAAGCCCUGGGCUCAACCUAGGAACUGCAUCCAAAACUAAUUCACUAGAGUACGAUAGAGGGAGGUAGAAUUCACAGUGUAGCGGUGGAAUGCGUAGAUAUUGUGAAGAAUACCAAUGGCGAAGGCAGCCUCCUGGAUCUGUACUGACACUGAGGUGCGAAAGCGUGGGUAGCGAACAGGAUUAGAUACCCUGGUAGUCCACGCCGUAAACGAUGACAACUAGCUGUUGGAGACUAUGUCUUUCAGUGGCGCAGCUAACGUAUUAAGUUGUCCGCCUGGGGAGUACGGCCGCAAGGCUAAAACUCAAAUGAAUUGACGGGGACCCGCACAAGCGGUGGAGCAUGUGGUUUAAUUCGAUGCAACGCGAAAAACCUUACCUACUCUUGACAUACUUGGAAUGCUCUUGUAAUGAAGUAGUGCCUUCGGGAGCCAAGAUACAGGUGCUGCAUGGCUGUCGUCAGCUCGUGUCGUGAGAUGUUCCGUUAAGUCGGAUAACGAGCGCAACCCUUACCCUUAUUUGCCAGCGAUUCGGUCGGGAACUAUAAGGGGACUGCCGGUGAUAAACCGGAGGAAGGUGAGGACGACGUCAAGUCAUCAUGGCCCUUACGUGUAGGGCUACACACGUGCUACAAUGGGGAAUACAGACGGACGCUAAGCCGCGAGGUGGUGCUAAUCCUAGAAAAUUCUUCGUAGUCCGGAUUGGAGUCUGCAACUCGACUCCAUGAAGUCGGAAUCGCUAGUAAUCGCGAAUCAGCAUGUCGCGGUGAAUACGUUCUCGGGUCUUGUACACACCGCCCGUCACACCAUGGAAGUGGAUUGCACCAGAAGUAGAUAGUCUAACCUUCGGGAGGGCGUUUACCACGGUGUGGUUCAUGACUGGGGUGAAGUCGUAACAAGGUAGCCGUAGGGGAACCUGUGGCUG
rnacentral:rRNA from 1 species